AGAAGCUGGCGAAGAGGUUCCUGGAGUCCGCGGACACUAGCCACACGACCGCCUACUGGAGCUGCGCCCAUGUACUUCACCUGAACGGUCCGCGGAGCAGGAAAACGGUUCCUCCGGGAUGCACUUCGCACCGGCUCUUUCUUUUGUUCAGAAAUGGUCAAGACUCGACGAAAGAAUUUAAAAUUACUGCGGCCAGUGGUUAAAAAACGAUCGAAGUAAAAACGGUGAAACGGGAAGAAUGCUCGAAGCAGAGUUAAUCGUACUAUUUAACGAAAGAGGAGAAGGCUUCCUUAAUUUCCUGCGGUAAUGGAAUCGAGACACGAAGAAAAAGAAAGUAAUCAAUGCAGUUACCGGUAAAAUUGCGGCGGCGCAUUCACCGGGUGUUCCGGUUUCGGCUUCCACGGAAGCGAACAUCGCCUCGAUUCGAGCCUGAACCGCGCUGUUCACCCUCUUCUGCUCCUCGGCCCCGACGUCAUCCAGAUGGUUCGAGUUCAUGGUCGACACCUCUCCGUACCAGCCACCCACGGUGGACCCGUAGAUCGACCUAAAUCGGUCUCGGAGGUGAAGAGUCAAAGAGGAACCAGAAAGGCUUCGUCGAUGUCCUCGUUAAAUGAAUAAAUUAUUUACAAGCGAGUGCGAA